AGGCCGAGAGCGUCGAAGGAAAAGCAGCUCGUUGCGAUUCGGUUCUGAAAUAAUCAAUAUAGGAAGCUUUCUUGACGAACGUGUCUUUCGUCAAAUGCCCCCGACAAAGUAAGCUGUAUUUAGUACAUUAAUGUUCAUAUCAACAUUUUUAUUAAUGAUUUUCAUCAGAACGUUCUGCUUGUACCUUACGUUUGACCAAGGCAACGCAUGGUGCGUAGAAAUUAUUGAUGAAAGGAUCAUAGAUUUUUAAUUAAUUCAGUGACAUGCGUAUACGUACGUCGAAUGUAUUGUCGUAUUGUAAACAAAAUUUACCGAUACAAAUUCACUUUCAUGUACAAUGUGAACAAAUGAAUUUUUGAAAUAAAUUGUAAAUGUAA